AGCAGCCGCGGUAAUUCCAGCUCCAAUAGCGUAUAUUAAAGUUGUUGAGGUUAAAAAGCUCGUAGUUGAACCUUGGGCCUAGCCGGCCGGUCCGCCUCACCGCGUGCACUGGCUCGGCUGGGUCUUUCCUUCUGGAGAACCGCAUGCCCUUCACUGGGUGUGCCGGGGAACCAGGACUUUUACUCUGAACAAAUUAGAUCGCUUAAAGAAGGCCUAUGCUCGAAUACAUUAGCAUGGAAUAAUAGAAUAGGACGUGUGGUUCUAUUUUGUUGGUUUCUAGGAUUGACGUAAUGAUUAAUAGGGAUAGUUGGGGGCAUUAGUAUUCAGUUGCUAGAGGUGAAAUUCUUGGAUUUACUGAAGACUAACUACUGCGAAAGCAUUUGCCAAGGAUGUUUUCAUUAAUCAAGAACGAAGGUUAGGGGAUCGAAAACGAUCAGAUACCGUUGUAGUCUUAACAGUAAACUAUGCCGACUAGGGAUCGGAUGAUGUUAAUUUUUUAAUGACUCA
rnacentral:rRNA from 1 species